UCCCUAAUUGCUACCUAAAUCCCUAAUCGUACAUACAUACCAAAAAAAUAAAAAAGAAAGGGAAACAGAAGAGGAAAGGGGAAGACCGAGGAGAAGAGAGGGAGGAGGAAGGAGCGACGUGGCCGAGACCUUACCGCCGCCGCUGUUGUGCUGCACAUGAGAGUGAGAGAGAGACACACACAGAAUGAGCAUCGCGAGAAUCAAGGGAGGGAGGCACGGUUCGGUCCUGUUGCCGUAGCGGGUUGCGCCUGAUCACCAUCGCAGAAGCUCCAUCGUCGCUCACUCUGUAAAUACCUUGUAUCUACCUCUGAUGUUCUUGGCUAUGUUAUGUUUGUUGGAGCUUGUCUCAAUGGAGCCACUGGCGGGGUGUUGCUGCUGCCGGAACCACCGCGAGGUGUUGCUAGGAAUCGCCGCUGCCCUGCUUCCGCUAAACUUAGGUUUAACAUCCAUUGGCCUGGAGCCGCUUCUGCUUUCGAUUCUAUUGAAUUUGAAAUCUUCGUUUCGUUGCAACCAUGAUCACUGUUGUGGGAGCUAACGCCGCUGCUAUCUUGAUUGAAACUGUUGCAUAGCUAGUAUUGGUCCAGCCAGCUGCCUCGCUAUAAUCCCGCCUCCGGGUUCUUUUAAUCGCGACAUCGAGCGACAGAUUUGAAGACGCAAUUUGAAGCUGCGAGCGAUCAGUAGGUUUUCUUUAUGGUUUUAAUUGCUUUCAUAGAGUCCCCUCGCUAUUGUCCUUUGAGAAUUCAUUUUACAUAGAGGGGUAGGUUUAGUAUAUUGUAUUUGAGUUUUAUUUGGUCUCUUUUGUAUAAGAAUUAUUAUCAAUAAUAUCUAUGUGAUUAUUAUUAUUUGUGAA